rnacentral:rRNA from 1 species
UACGUAGGGGGCAAGCGUUGUCCGGAAUUAUUGGGCGUAAAGAGCGUGUAGGCGGCCCGGUAAGUCCGCUGUGAAAGUCCAGGGCUCAACCCUGGGAUGCCGGUGGAUACUGUCGGGCUCGAGUCCGGAAGAGGAGUGUGGAAUUCCUGGUGUAGCGGUGAAAUGCGCAGAUAUCAGGAGGAACACCGGUGGCGAAGGCGGGACUCUGGGCCUGUGACUGACGCUGGAGGAACGAAAGCGUGGGGAGCGAACAGG